UCCUACGGGGGGCAGCAGUGGGGAAUAUUGCACAAUGGGGGAAACCCUGAUGCAGCGACGCCGCGUGAGUGAAGAAGUAUCUCGGUACGUAAAGCUCUAUCAGCAGGGAAGAAAAAAAGUCUUUGGCUUUGGACGGUACCUGACUAAGAAGCCCCGGCUAACUACGUGCCAGCAGCCGCGGUAAUACGUAGGGGGCAAGCGUUAUCCGGAUUUACUGGGUGUAAAGGGUGCGCAGGCGGGAGAUCAAGUCAGCGGUAAAAUAUCGGGGCUCUACCCCGGCCGGCCGUUGAAACUGGUUUUCUAGG
rnacentral:rRNA from 1 species